rnacentral:rRNA from 1 species
CCUACGGGGGGCAGCAGUGAGGAAUCUUGGUCAAUGGACGAGAGUCUGAACCAGCCAAGCAGCGUGAAGGAUGACUGCCCUCUGGGUUGUAAACUUCUUUUAUAUGGGAAUAAAAUGUUCCACGUGUGGGAUUUUGUUUGUACCAUAUGAAUAAGGAUCGGCUAACUCCGUGCCAGCAGCCGCGGUAAUACGGAGGAUCCGAGCGUUAUCCGGAUUUAUUGGGUUUAAGGGGAGCGUAGGUGGAGUGUUAAGUUAGUUGUGAAAGUUUGCGGCUCAACCGUAAAAUUGCAGUUGAAACUGGCAGUCUUGAGUACAGUAGAGGUGAGCGGAAUUCGUGGUGUAGCGGUGAAAUGCUUAGAUAUCACGAAGAACUCCGAUGGCGAAGGCAGCUCACUGGACUGCAACUGACACUGAGGCUCGAAAGUGUGGGUAGCAAACAGGAUUAGAUACCCGUGUAGUC